AUUGAACGCUGGCGGCAUGCCUUACACAUGCAAGUCGAACGGCAGCACGGGUGCUUGCACCUGGUGGCGAGUGGCGAACGGGUGAGUAAUACAUCGGAACGUACCUUAUCGUGGGGGAUAACGCAGCGAAAGCUGUGCUAAUACCGCAUACGCCCUGAGGGGGAAAGCGGGGGAUCGCAAGACCUCGCGCGAUUAGAGCGGCCGAUGCCUGAUUAGCUUGUCGGUGGGGUAAAAGCCCACCAAGGCGACGAUCAGUAGCUGGGCUGAGAGGACGAUCAGCCAGACUGGGACGAGGACACGGCCCAGACUCCUACGGGAGGCAGCAGUGGGGAAUUUUGGACAAUGGGGGCAACCCUGAUCCAGCAAUGCCGCGUGAGUGAAGAAGGCCUUCGGGUUGUAAAGCUCUUUUGUCAGGGAAGAAACACCGGCUCUAACACAGUCUGGGAAUGACGGUACCUGAAGAAUAAGCACCGGCUAACUACGUGCCAGCCGCCGCAGUAA
rnacentral:rRNA from 1 species